AAGGGUGCGUAGGCGGCCUGUUAAGUCAGGGGUGAAAGACGGUAGCUCAACUAUCGCAGUGCCCUUGAUACUGAUGGGCUUGAAUUGACUAGAGGUAGGCGGAAUGUGACAAGUAGCGGUGAAAUGCAUAGAUAUGUCACAGAACACCGAUUGCGAAGGCAGCUUACUAUGGUCUUAUUGACGCUGAGGCACGAAAGGCGUGGGGAUCAAACAGGAUUAGAUACCCCAGU
rnacentral:rRNA from 1 species